GCAGUGGGGGUUCAGUGGUAGAAUGCUUGCCUUCCAUGUGGGAGACCCAGGUUCGAUACUGGCCAAUGUA
rnacentral:tRNA from 1 species